rnacentral:lncRNA from 1 species
GGGCUAGGCCCCAUUUUCUCCAUUUCCGCCUAAAUUACGUGCCCAAAGUAAACUGCCUGUUGCUCAUGCCCUGAAGCCAGGAUAUGCAUAUAAUUGGUACCAUUGGAAAGAAAACACUUUGCAUUUUGUAGAAAUGUUAAAAUCAUUUAGGAGAAUAUAACACAAUAGAUAUGGUUGGAGAAAAUCCAAAGAAAAACCAACCAUCCUCUUAGAAAGGUUAAAGUCCCCAGGAGACUGUCAGGAUGACAGGAUGACACAUUACACCCCAGUCAUCAGAUGGCAUACCUACAAAGCCACUGGAGCACAAACAUAUCGCCAG